GAGCUGAAGUCUGAUUGGUAAGGAAUUGCAAUUGCUGCUGUAGAUCUGAAAUCCGCGAAUGGGCCUUAGAAAACCGUUGUUUACUCCAUUUAUCAAGAGCCAAGCUGACCCUUUUUAAUUUGAAUGGCAGGUCUUGAGCAACCUGCUUUGCUGAGGUCCAAGUAUGCUCUAUAAUGUUCCGACAAGCCUGGUCCUGUAACCAGUAUGCUUCAAAGACAAAAGGUAAAGCAUAAACCUCAGCCUCAUGGAAAGCAAGCCUCCAGUUCAGGUCGCACAGCACUCUAUCCAGCCGUUCCUUCACCAAGUCAUCUCCCUGGCGGUUGUUCAUCCAGGUAAAGAAAGCAUUGUUACACUUGUAGGAAGCAUCAAAGAAUCUUACGGGGAGGAUUUGCUGA